AGAGUUUGAUCAUGGCUCAGAUUGAACGCUGGCGGCAUGCCUAACACAUGCAAGUCGAACGGUAACAGGCCGCAAGGUGCUGACGAGUGGCGGACGGGUGAGUAAUACGUAGGUAUCUGCCCUGUAGUGGGGGAUAACCCGGGGAAACUCGGGCUAAUACCGCAUACGCUCUUUUAUCGUUGAGAUAGGAGAGGAAAGCGAGGGACCGAAAGGCCUCGCGCUAGAGGAUGAGCCUACGCCCGAUUAGCUAGUUGGUAGGGUAAAGGCCUACCAAGGCGACGAUCGGUAGCUGGUCUGAGAGGAUGGCCAGCCACACUGGGACUGAGACACGGCCCAGACUCCUACGGGAGGCAGCAGUGGGGAAUAUUGGACAAUGGGGGAAACCCUGAUCCAGCGAUGCCGCGUGGGUGAAGAAGGCCUGCGGGUUGUAAAGCCCUUUCAGUGGGGAAGAAAAACGGGGUGUGAAAAGCGCUUCGUCUUGACGUUACCCACAGAAGAAGCACCGGCUAACUCCGUGCCAGCAGCCGCGGUAAUACGGAGGGUGCGAGCGUUAAUCGGAAUUACUGGGCGUAAAGGGCGCGUAGGCGGUUAGGUAAGUCGAGUGUGAAAGCCCUGGGCUUAACCUGGGAAUGGCAUUCGAGACCACCUAUCUAGAGUCUGGUAGAGGGAAGUGGAAUUUCCAGUGUAGCGGUGAAAUGUGUAGAUAUCGGAAGGAACACCAGUGGCGAAGGCGACUUCCUGGACCAAGACUGACGCUGAGGCGCGAAAGCGUGGGGAUCAAACAGGAUUAGAUACCCCAGUAGUCC
rnacentral:rRNA from 1 species